UACGUAGGGGGCAAGCGUUGUUCGGAAUUACUGGGCGUAAAGGGCUCGUAGGCGGCCAACUAAGUCAGACGUGAAUCCCUCGGCUUAACCGGGGAACUGCGUCUGAUACUGGAUGGCUUGGAUGUGGGAGAGGGAUGCGGAAUUCCAGGUGUAGCGGUGAAAUGCGUAGAUAUCUGGAGGAACACCGGUGGCGAAGGCGGCAUCCUGGACCAUUAUUGACGCUGAGGAGCGAAAGCCAGGGGAGCAAACGGG
rnacentral:rRNA from 1 species